CUGGUAGUCCACGCUGUAAACGAUGUCGACUUGGAGGUUGUUCCCUUGAGGAGUGGCUUCCGGAGCUAACGCGUUAAGUCGACCGCCUGGGGAGUACGGCCGCAAGGUUAAAACUCAAAUGAAUUGACGGGGGCCCGCACAAGCGGUGGAGCAUGUGGUUUAAUUCGAUGCAACGCGAAGAACCUUACCUACUCUUGACAUCCAGAGAACUUAGCAGAGAUGCUUUGGUGCCUUCGGGAACUCUGAGACAGGUGCUGCAUGGCUGUCGUCAGCUCGUGUUGUGAAAUGUUGGGUUAAGUCCCGCAACGAGCGCAACCCUUAUCCUUUGUUGCCAGCGGUUCGGCCGGGAACUCAAAGGAGACUGCCAGUGAUAAACUGGAGGAAGGUGGGGAUGACGUCAAGUCAUCAUGGCCCUUACGAGUAGGGCUACACACGUGCUACAAUGGCAUAUACAAAGAGAAGCGACCUCGCGAGAGCAAGCGGACCUCAUAAAGUAUGUCGUAGUCCGGAUCGGAGUCUGCAACUCGACUCCGUGAAGUCGGAAUCGCUAGUAAUCGUGGAUCAGAAUGCCACGGUGAAUACGUUCCCGGGCCUUGUACACACCGCCCGUCACACCAUGGGAGUGGGUUGCAAAAGAAGUAGGUAGCUUAACCUU
rnacentral:rRNA from 1 species